rnacentral:misc_RNA from 1 species
AAGACUAUAGACCUGCGGAGUACCUGCGGAGGGAUCAUUAUCGUAUUGUAACAAUUGGGGGGGCCACCGUGGGCUGUCGCUGACCCUUUGAAAGGGGGGUCGUGCACGCCCCCAUAGUGUCAUCCUCAUACAAUCCAAUUCACCUCUGUGCAUCACCGCGUGGGUUCCUUUCUGGGUCGAGUCAGACUGGCUCAGAAAAAAGGGGCUUGCGUUUUCCAUACAAAUACCCUUAUAAAUCCA